UGCCAGCAGCCGCGGUACUACUAAUUGAGCUAGCGUUAAUCGGAAUCACUGGGCGUAAGGCGCACGCAGGCGGCCUGUUAAGUCAGAUGUGAAAGCCCCGGGCUUAACCUGGGAACUGCAUUUGAUACUGACAGGCUAGAGUAUGGGAGAGAGAAGUGGAAUUCCACAUGUAGCGGUGAAAUGCGUAGAUAUGUGGAGGAACAUCAGUGGCGAAGGCGACUUCUUGGCCCAAUACUGACGCUCAGGUGCGAAAGCGUGGGGAGCAAACAGGAUUAGAUA
rnacentral:rRNA from 1 species